UCUGCUUUUGGUGACGCCUGACCUUGAAUUGAAAAUGGAUGUUUGUACUUUUGUGGCUAUGUACUGUCCUAACAUAAUCUAACUUUAUGCUUUUGCCGUAAAGCCUCUUUGAAAAUCGAACAAUGUGGUUAGAUUAAGGAGAUGUUUAUCAUUUAAAUUGUGUAAAAUAGUUGAUUGUUUGAGAAAUUGAAAUUAUUAGAUUUUUGAUGUUUUGAAUUUCCAGCCUUGUUAGCAAUCCCGGCUCGGGGUUCAUUGCUAACCUGUAGCCCCAACAGGGUAUUAAGUUAAGAUCUUUUCAUUUUUCAGUUAAGUGCCUGCACCUGCUGUCCUUUCAAAUUCAAAUCCAAAUGUUUCAGUUGGGCAGUUAGGUUCCUGCAAGAACCCCGACCAACUAAGGAGGUUCCACGAUGAACCCCACCUCCUAUGGGGUUCUUGGAAGAACCUUUUGGGUGCAAUUUUCAGUGCCAAGAACCCUAAGGUUCUUUGAAGAACUUUGAGGAUCUUAGAAGAACUCUUGUUGAACCCCUAAUUUUUAGAGGGGAUCUGCUGUACCUAUGUUAUGCAGGAAAAAGUCAGUUACAAAUGAUUUUGUUUUGGUUAAAAACAGGUUGUCAUCCAGGAGGCUUUGAUUCAAUUUCCAAUAUCAUUGUGCACAUGGAAAUUCUGUAAGAAUAAUGCGGAUGCCAAUUAUUUAAUGGUCUGAUCGCAUUCUGCCCCCUAUAAAAAAAUUUUUUUUUACUUUUGGUGCCAGCGAGAAGAACACAAGAAAGUAGUCAAGACAACUAUCUUAAUUAAGGCUCCAUGUAUAUCUCAUUAGGUCAGGAUUUUAAGCCUCCUCCAUGUAUAUCUAACUAGGACAGGAUUUUUAAGCCUCCAUACAUCCACUUGUUGUAAUGUAUCCAUGACAUUCGUAAUUUCCCUAAGUGCAUGAGGGUGAUAGUUUGUAGUGUGAUUUCCUUCACGGUCCAUUGGGGUAGUUAAACCCGUAUUAUAAUCUCCCACCAUAAUAAUACAGUCAUUUGUUGCAUGUGAACUCGAUAGAGGAUUAUACAUAUUUUCAAAGAACCAUGGAUCAUCAUUAUUUGGACCGUAUAGAUUAAUUAGACAAAUCUGUUAAUGGUCCAAUAGCAUAUUUAAAAGGAUCCACCUUACUUGAGGUUCUGUUUGGACAGUUUGCAAAAUCGAUUUGAAAUUGUUAUUAAUUAAUAUCAUCACCAUCCCAGUCCUUUCCUCAUCUAUAGUUAUAGGGUAAGUUUUCCUGUAAACAAUAAAUAUUAUACCUUGUCCGUAGACUGCUUACAGGGUAAAGAAACCAACAUGUAAUUUGUCAUUUAGGUGAAGUAUCCCCUUAACAAGUUCAGGCAUGAAUUCCAAGUGGUUAGGGCUAAGGUUUGGGUAAGAGUUAAAACAGAGAGUGCCUAGCACUGGGAUUGAAUCUGCGAUGUUCGGAGUCGUAGCUCACCAUAGCUCAUAAUCCAUCCCCAUUGCCAUUUAUCAUCAGUUGAACGCUACUAGCGCACCACUAGCUAGAUAUUUGACAUCGGUUACAUCUCCACCAGAGAGGGUGGAAACACUCCUAACCUCCAAACCUGGCAGGCCUUCACUAAUGAGGAAUACGGGCUAGGCUGUCAGUGGGUUCAUUAAUGGAUCAAGGUUGCUUCCUUAACACAAACACACUGACAGAGGAAGUGAACGGAGCAAGAUUGUUUCCUUAACACAAACACACUGACAGAGGAAGUGAACGGAGCAAGGUUGUUUCCUUAACACAAACACACUGACAGAGAAAGUGAACGGAGCAAGGUUGUUUCCUUAACACAAACACACUGACAAAAGAAGUGAACGGAGCAAGGUUGUUUCCUUAACACAAUCACACUGACAGAGGAAGUGAACGGAGCAAGGUUGUUUCCUUAACACAAUCACACUGACAGAGGAAGUGAACGGAGCAUGGUUGCUUCCUCUGCAGAAAGACAGCAUCUAGCCCAAACACACACUCCUAUGAGUCAGCAGUUUAUGGGGAGCGUACUGUACAGUGCUUGUGAGCCAGUGGCUAAACUACCAAUCAUUUGGAAGGAAUGCCAUAAUUACUUUUGUAGGGUAAAAAGAGCAAGAAAAAAUGAAAGUUGAAGGUCCACAUCAGACUACAGUCUCUAAUAACACAGUUUCUCUCCCUCUGUAUUCGUUCCAGCCCCUCAGGGACCAAUGAAUGCCAACUUUCUGAUACACAGUUUGAUAGGAAGGCCUGUUUAGCUCUCUAACAAAUAUCAAUGUGGAAGUUUUACCUGUUGUUUCAACAAAUACUUUUCCGUAAAGGAGUAACUACUGCCUCCCCUGAUUCGUUUAAGGGUGUGCUUAUCUCUCCUGAAUGUCAACGGUAAUAAACAGUGCUAAACAUAAUAAUCGAUAAUACUCGUCAACAUACUUCAAAUCAAACCAUAUUCUAUUAAUCACAUGCACCUAAUACAACUGGUGUAGACUUUACAGUGAAACGCUUGCUCACAAACAUUUCCCAACUAUGCACAGUGGGGGAAAAAAGUAUAACUAAAACAAGAGGAAUGAAAUAAAAUACACAAGAAUGGAGCUAUUUACAGGAAGUACCAGUACCAGAUCACUGUGGAGCUAUAUACUGGGAGUACCAGUACCAGAUCAAUGUGGAGCUAUACACAGGGAGUACCAGUACCAGAUCAAUGUGGAGCUAUAUACUGGGAGUACCAGUAUCAGAUCAAUGUGGAGCUAUAUACAGGGAGUACCAGUACCAGAUCAAUGUGGAGCUAUACACAGGGAGUACCAGUACCAGAUCAAUGUGGAGCUAUAUACUGGGAGUACCAGUACCAGAUCAAUGUGGAGCUAUAUACAGGGAGUACCAGUACCAGAUCACUGUGGAGUUAUUUACAGAGAGUAUAAGUACCAGAUCACUGUGGAGUUAUAUACAGGGAGUACCAGUACCAGAUCAAUGUGGAGCUAUAUACAGGGAGUACCAGUACCUGAUCAAUGUGGAGUUAUAUACAGGGAGUACCAGUACCACAUCAAUGUGGAGCUAUAUACAGGGAGUAUCAGUACCAGACCAAUGUGGAGCUAUAUACAGGGAGUACCAGUACCAGAUCAAUGUGGAGCUAUAUACAGGGAGUACCUGUACCAGAUCAACGUGGAGCUAUAUACAGGGAGUACCAGUACCAGAUCAAUGUUGAGCUAUAUACAGGGAGUACCAGUACCAGGUCAAUGUGGAGCUAUAUACAGGGAAUACCAGUACCAGAUCAAUGUGGAGCUAUAUACAGGCAGUACCAGUACCAGAUCAAUGUGGAGCUAUAUACUGGAAGUACCAGUACCAGAUCAAUGUGGAGCUAUAUACAGGGA
rnacentral:lncRNA from 1 species